GAUGACGUCUGUCGAGCUUGCUCACAGGCACAUCAUAUCCAUAACACCUGGUGCACUUGGUCGGAUGGCUUAGUGAAGACCGCAAGGUUGAAUCUAUCCAUCUACUUUACAUAACAAUUCUGUAACAAAUGUAGUCUUAUUAUAACAUAAUAAAACUUUCAACAACGGAUCUCUUGGCUCUCGCAUCGAUGAAGAACGCAGCGAAAUGCGAUAAGUAAUGUGAAUUGCAGAAUUCAGUGAAUCAUCGAAUCUUUGAACGCACCUUGCGCUCCUUGGUAUUCCGAGGAGCAUGCCUGUUUGAGUGUCAUGAAAACCCUCAACCCUAGAUUGGUUAAAACCUUUCUUUGGUUUGGAUUUGGACGUUUGCCGAUGACAAGUCGGCUCGUCUUAAAAGUAAUAGCUGGAUCUGUCUCGCGACAUGGUUUGACUUGGCGUAAUAAGUAUUUCGCUAAGGACAUCUUCGGAUGGCCGCGUUGCAGGACUAAAGACCGCUUUCUAAUCCAUUGAUCUUCGGAUUAAUACUCUUGACAU
rnacentral:sRNA from 1 species